rnacentral:rRNA from 1 species
CUAUGGAGCUUUAAACACCUAAGUUAUUAUUAAACCUAAUAAUUAAUCUAAAGACUUAACCUACCAUAAUGAUAGCCUAACUUAGUGUUUUCGGUUGGGGCGACCAAGGAGUAAAAUAAAACCUCCUUAUCGAUUGAGUAUUUUUACUUAAAAAUUAGAACGACAGCUCUGAUUAAUAGAAUAUCUAACGAACAAUGACCCAGGACUAAACCCUGAUCAAUGAACCAAGUUACCCUAG